GUGGAAGUUGCUGUGAGCUGAGAGCGCGACAUUGCGCUCCAGCCUGGGUGACGAGCAAAACUCCAUCUCAAAAAAAGAAAAAAAGAGUUCCCAGACCCUCUUUAUGUAUCACAUGGUGUCCAUUUACCAUGAAGAGGAGUGAAGGUUUUACCUUACGGCUCCUCUUAAUCUUCCUGACAAUUGAGGUUUUAUAAUUACUUUCAUAAAAUGUAUGUUGUUAGGUCCAUUCGGGAGAAAGUACUUGUUUUCCAUAGACAGCUGGUAAAAUUUCAUAAAUCCAGAAUCCUACAUUCUUUGGAUUUCAGACUCUGUAGGUCAAUUUCAUUAGAACAAAGAGACAGAAGGGGAAAAAACCAUAUCCCCCUGAAAGCGUUUUCUCUUAUGUGGAACUAACCCAAAGGCAGUGAGGUUUGUUUCUACCUUCAUUCUGCCGCACCAUUUAAGACUUAACAUUCCUUCGCCCUGGUGCCAAAUUUGGGGCAGGGUUGUGGGGAGAAAGUGGAUGCCAGGGAAACAUACAUUUUAUUUUAUAUUCAUACAAAUGUCUUCUUCAAUUUUUGUAACAGGCCUGCGAGCUUCCUAGGCAGGAGGAAAAUUUGAACGAACUCUGCUUUUAGUGACCAGGAGUGGAGACAUAAGAAGAGCUUUUCAGCCUCUCUGGUUACGGAGAUAAGUACAAAGGCGCAAGGAGCCUAAAUGUGGUAGUUGAAGCUUCAAAUUUGGUGGAGCCCUUUCUGUGCACCGGGUUUCGGAAAAGACUCUUCCCCUUCUCAGCCCUGCAGUGGAAACCAGGACCUUAGAGUGUGGGGACAGAAAGCACAAAUUUUUGCAAAUGAGUUGUUGUUUCUACAAUGUGAAGGCAGGCAGAGCAGGUACUGUUAGACCCAUAUGAAGAAAACGAAAACUCACAGUGGCUGCAAAAUAUAGUUACUGUAGCAGAAAUUCUGAUUUUCAUGACUUUCACUUUCAUCAACAAGCUACCAUAAGAUGAUCCGUACAUCAAAAUGAGUCUGGAAGCUUGGGCUCUAAAAU